ACGAACCUUUCGGGGUUAGUGGCGGACGGGUGAGUAACGCGUAGGAAUCUGUCCACGGGUGGGGGAUAACUCUGGGAAACUGGAGCUAAUACCGCAUGAUACCUGAGGGUCAAAGGCGCAAGUCGCCUGUGGAGGAGCCUGCGUUCGAUUAGCUAGUUGGUGGGGUAAAGGCCUACCAAGGCGAUGAUCGAUAGCUGGUUUGAGAGGAUGAUCAGCCACACUGGGACUGAGACACGGCCCAG
rnacentral:rRNA from 1 species